rnacentral:rRNA from 1 species
UGGGGAAUCUUCCGCAAUGGGCGAAAGCCUGACGGAGCAACGCCGCGUGAGUGAAGACGGCCUUCGGGUUGUAAAGCUCUGUUAUAUGGGACGAACGGGUGUAUGGUCAAUACCCAUACGCCGUGACGGUACCGUAAGAGAAAGCCACGGCUAACUACGUGCCAGCAGCCGCGGUAAUACGUAGGUGGCAAGCGUUGUCCGGAAUCAUUGGGCGUAAAGGGCGCGCAGGCGGUUCGGUAAGUCGGUCUUAAAAGUGCGGGGCUUAACCCCGUGAUGGGAUUGAAACUGCCGGACUGGAGUGUCGGAGAGGAAAGCAGAAUUCCUAGUGUAGCGGUGAAAUGCGUAGAUAUUAGGAGGAAUACCAGUGGCGAAAGCGGCUUUCUGGACGACAACUGACGCUGAGGCGCGAAAGCCAGGGGAGCAAACGGGAUUAGAUACCCCGGUAGUCCUGGCCGUAAACGAUGGAUACUAGGUGUAGGAGGUAUCGACCCCUUCUGUGCCGGAGUUAACGCAAUAAGUAUCCCGCCUGGGGAGUACGGCCGCAAGGUUGAA